GGUCUUAUAGUUUAAGAAAAAUAUUAGACUGCAAUUCUAAAGUUAUAUAUUAUUAAGACUU
rnacentral:tRNA from 1 species